UAUUGUGGAGGUCAGGAGUUAAGUGUUAGAUGCCCGAUCCUCCUUGCUUGGUAUCCAGUUUGGUUUCAUAAUAUAAGUGUGUUGCAGGGGAAUCUUUUCCUCUACCCAUCUUAGGUUUUCCAACUGAAACCUUAUAAGUUAGACUGGCCAAAGACUGAUUAACAAGAGAAAAACAAGUCUACUUACAAGUUCGUUGUCUGUGUACACACAGGAACACUAAGAGUCUUCAAAGGAGAACGACCCAUUUCCCAAUUUACUUGAUAGAAGUCCCUAAACUCGGAGCAUCGAGUGUGAGGCUUUGGAGCUGCAAGUGCCUGAGCUUGGAUUUCAGGUUAAUUGUGGUCUCAGAUGCUGCCAUCUAACCAAUCUAAGAAUCCCAUGUUGGGCUGGAAAAUGCGUCUGGAGAGUAGGGGACGGUAUUUGCUGCUCAGUUGUUAGGUAUGAUAUGCUGUGCCCCCUAGAGGCAUUAAAAGUUUCUCUUCCUA